ACCCCAAUUCCUCUUACUCCAGACAUUUUGCUAUUCUUCCUCCCAGGAAUCUAUUUCUCUGUCCAGCUUCAUGGUCAUUGGCUUGUUAUUGUAGAUGAUUGCAUUAAAGGUCACAUGAGAGUAUUGUUUUCUCUAAAGAAAAGCAUCUUUUCAGGCACAGAGAAGUUGAUUGACCUUCUCAGAUUUGCUCAGGAGAAUCUGGGUGCCAGUUGUUGGCAGUAUCCUGGUAUAUUCCUUAGCCCCAGGGCCUCUAUGCUGACUCACCUUGUCUGGGUUUGCUUGCUAGCUGCUGCAUUUUCUCUCUGCUACAGUGGCCAGCACAGCUGCUGUUUUUUUCCAAAGCCCUCUUUCACAGAGCUGUUAGGUAGGAGGCCACUG
rnacentral:lncRNA from 1 species